GCGGAUGUGGUGGAAUUGGUAGACACGCCAGGUUUAGGUCCUGGUGCCUUCGGGCGUGGGAGUUCAAGUCUCCCCAUCCGCACCA
rnacentral:tRNA from 4 species